GUGGGGAAUAUUGGGCAAUGGGCGAAAGCCUUACCCAGCAACGCCGCGUGAGGGAAGAAGGUUUUCGGAUUGUAAACCUCUGUCCUGGGGGACGAAGGAAGUGACGGUACCCCGGGAGGAAGCCCCGGCUAACUACGUGCCAGCAGCCGCGGUAAUACGUAGGGGGCGAGCGUUGUCCGGAAUUAUUGGGCGUAAAGGGCGCGUAGACGGCUGUGUAAGUUAUAGGUGAAAGCCCAACUUUCAAGGUUGGAACUGCCUGUAAUACUGCAUGGCUUGAGUGCAGGAGAGGGAAGCGGAAUUCCUAGUGUAGCGGUGAAAUGCGUAGAUAUUAGGAGGAACACCAGUGGCGAAGGCGGCUUUCUGGACUGUAACUGACGUUGAGGCGCGAAAGCGUGGGGAGCAAACAGGAUUAGAAACCCCGGUAGUCC
rnacentral:rRNA from 1 species